rnacentral:rRNA from 1 species
UACGUAGGGUGCAAGCGUUGUCCGGAAUUAUUGGGCGUAAAGAGCUCGUAGGCGGUUUGUCGCGUCUGCUGUGAAAACUCGGGGCUUAACCCCGGGCCUGCAGUGGGUACGGGCAGACUAGAGUGCGGUAGGGGAGACUGGAAUUCCUGGUGUAGCGGUGAAAUGCGCAGAUAUCAGGAGGAACACCGGUGGCGAAGGCGGCCCCCCUGGGUCGGCCCUGACGCUGAGGCGCGAAAGCGUGGGGAGCGAACGGG